rnacentral:rRNA from 1 species
GAUGAACGCUAGCUACAGGCUUAACACAUGCAAGUCGCGGGGCAGCAUGUCGGUUGCUUGCAACCGAUGAUGGCGACCGGCGCACGGGUGAGUAACGCGUAUCCAACCCGCCCUUCACCACGGAAUAAUCCAGUGAAAAUUGGUCUAAGACCGUAUGAGGUCAUCAGAUGGCAUCUGAAUAGGAAGCAAGGUUUGGCGGUGUGGGAUGGGGAUGCGUCUGAUUGGCUUGUUGGUGAGUUAACGGCUCACCAGGGCGACGAUAAGUAGGGGUUCUGAGAGGAAGGUCCCCAUCAUUGGAAUUGAGACACAGUCCAAACUCCUACGGGCGGCAGCAGUGAGGAUUAUUGGUCAAUGAGCGAGAGCCUGAACCAGCCAAGUAGCGUGCAGGAAGACGGCCCUAUGGGUUGUAAACUGCUUUUAUAUGGGGAUAAAGUGAGCUACGUUUAGUUUAUUGCAGGUACCAUAUGAAUAAGGACCGGCUAAUUCCGUGCCAGCAGCCGCCGUAA